UGAGCGGAGAUAUAUGGAGCUUGCUUUAUAUAACUUAGCAGCGAACGGGUGAGUAACACGUAGAUAAUCUAUCCUAUACUGGGGGAUAGCCCGAUGAAAGUUGGAUUAAUACCGCAUAUAGCUAUAUAGUUGCAUGAUUAUGUAGUGAAAGAUUUAUUGGUAUAGGAGGAGUCUGCGGCACAUUAGCUAGUAGGUGAGGUAAAGGCUUACCUAGGCGACGAUGUGUAGCCGGUCUGAGAGGAUGAACGGCCACAAUGGAACUGAGACACGGUCCAUACUCCUACGGGAGGCAGCAGUGGGGAAUAUUGCACAAUGGGGGAAACCCUGAUGCAGCAACGCCGCGUGAGUGAAGAAGGUUUUCGGAUUGUAAAGCUCUGUUAGCAGGGAAGAGGAAGGACGGUACCUGCAGAGGAAGCCACGGCUAACUACGUGCCAGCAGCCGCGGUAAUACGUAGGUGGCAAGCGUUGUUCGGAAUAACUGGGCGUAAAGGAUGCGUAGGCGGUUAAACAAGUUAUAUGUUAAAUAUAUAGGCUUAACCUGUAGAAAGCAUAUAAAACUGUUUAACUAGAGUGCAGGAGAGGUAAGUGGAAUUCCUAGUGUAGCGGUGAAAUGCGUAGAGAUUAGGAAGAACACCAGUGGCGAAGGCGACUUACUGGACUGUAACUGACGCUGAGGCAUGAGAGCAUGGGGAGCAAACAGGAUUAGAUACCCUGGUAGUCCAUGCUGUAAACGAUGGGUACUAGGUGUGGGUUGUGAAUAACAAUUCGUGCCGUCGCAAACGCAAUAAGUACCCCGCCUGAGGAGUACGAUCGCAAGAUUAAAACUCAAAGGAAU
rnacentral:rRNA from 1 species